rnacentral:rRNA from 1 species
UACAGAGGGGGCAAGCGUUGUUCGGAAUUACUGGGCGUAAAGGGCGCGUAGGCGGCCACCUAAGUCAGACGUGAAAUCCCUCGGCUCAACCGGGGAACUGCGUCUGAUACUGGGUGGCUUGAAUCCGGGAGAGGAAUGCGGAAUUCCAGGUGUAGCGGUGAAAUGCGUAGAUAUCUGGAGGAACACCGGUGGCGAAGGCGGCAUUCUGGACCGGCAUUGACGCUGAGGCGCGAAAGCCAGGGGAGCAAACGGG